UACGUAGGUGGCAAGCGUUGUCCGGAUUUAUUGGGCGUAAAGCGCGCGCAGGCGGUCCUUUAAGUCUGAUGUGAAAUCUUGCGGCUCAACCGCAAGCGGUCAUUGGAAACUGGGGGACUUGAGUGCAGAAGAGGAAAGCGGAAUUCCACGUGUAGCGGUGAAAUGCGUAGAGAUGUGGAGGAACACCAGUGGCGAAGGCGGCUUUCUGGUCUGUAACUGACGCUGAGGCGCGAAAGCGUGGGGAGCAAAC
rnacentral:rRNA from 2 species